rnacentral:misc_RNA from 1 species
GAAAUGCGAUAAGUAAUGUGAAUUGCAGAAUUUUGUGAAUCAUCGAAUCUUUGAACGCACAUUGCGCCUUUUGGUAUUCCGAAAGGCACGCCUGUUCGAGCGCCGUUUAACAUCUAAGCCCCUGGCUUGUGUUGACAGUGGUCGCUAGAUCUUGUUCAAACAACGUUCAGCGUCUCACUCAGAGAAAGCACGUAGCAAAAUACGAGCACUCACUGAGAAGAAACGCUCAUCAACGAGUUUGGCCUCGAAUCAGGUGAGGUUACCCGCUGAACUUAA